GGGGACCCGCACAAGCGGUGGAUGAUGUUGGAUUAAUUCGAUGCAACGCGAAGAACCUUACCUACCCUUGACAUGUCCGGAACUUGCCAGAGAUGGCUUGGUGCCCGAAAGGGAACCGGAACACAGGUGCUGCAUGGCUGUCGUCAGCUCGUGUCGUGAGAUGUUGGGUUAAGUCCCGCAACGAGCGCAACCCUUAUCAUUAGUUGCUACGCAAGGGCACUCUAAUGAGACUGCCGGUGACAAACCGGAGGAAGGUGGGGAUGACGUCAAGUCCUCAUGGCCCUUAUGACCUGGGCUACACACGUGCUACAAUGGGCGGUACAAAGGGCUGCGAACCCGCGAGGGGGAGCGAAUCCCAAAAAGCCGCUCUCAGUUCGGAUUGGAGUCUGCAACUCGACUCCAUGAAGUUGGAAUCGCUAGUAAUCGCGGAUCAGCAUGCCCGCGGUCCGAAUACGUUCCGGCCUU
rnacentral:rRNA from 1 species